AGACUUGGUGCGGCUUGCAUUUUGCAUCUGUGGGUUUUGAUGUUUUCGAGUCUUUUCCUUGUAUCAUUGUCCCACAGUAGUCCUGUGACAUAGAUAAGGCAGCUACAGAUACUCUCAGCAACAGGCUCCAAACGACUUGCCUGUGGCCACAGGGUGUCCUGGACUUCAAGUAGAACUGGAAGAUUUUGCUGAAAGAUUGGACAUGGCAUUCAGAGAAACAGAGGUUUUAAUGACAAACUCCAAGUUUUUGGCUGGAGCAACUGGAAGAAUGAGGUUGCCAUGAACCGAAAAGAGAGAUUGCAGAAGUAACCAAAUUUACUCACGUAGGCCAGGAAUUUCUAUGACGUGUUCCAAAUUCAGCCUCUCACUGAACACUUCCAGAGCAAGGCAACAUAAACAUCUGCAAGAAGAACAUUGUGUGAGAAAUAUCAAGUGAGAGUGGAAGAGUCUGCGGAGGGCCUCCCUGGGGCUCACCUGUGCUUUUGCCUGAGCUUCACCGUGUCAAGAAAAAAUGAGAGCAAACCCAGUUCCCAGAUAAAAGAAUCAGAAUACCCUCCCACACACCUGCCCUCAUGUGACUGAGGCACUUGGCCAGUUCAUAAACAAGCCAUGGUGAUGACCUAUAACAGACGCGUCCUGACCUGGCAGACCGCAGGGGACGUGAAGAAGCUUGGCCUGAAAUAUUCUGACGUGUCCCAGCCUCACACUCACAUAGUUCCUGGGCACCCAGAAAGAUGGGGCCUAGGAAUACUCUUAUUGAGAAUCUGGCAUGAAUGAAUCACACCAAAGACUGCCAGCUAAGUGAGAGAUUUACAGUCUCCAGCCUUGAGUUCUGAGUGUUUUCAGAUGUGGACAGGGUCUGAGACUCUCACGUGACAAGCCAUGGGCCCUAUGCCGAGGCAGACUCCUGCUCUGUGCUGCUCCUAGGGAACCACGGCAGCUUCGAAAUGCAUUCUAAUCUGCCCUCUUAUUGUGACAGUUUAUAUUGUACUUAGAACCUAAAAUUAAGACUCUAAACUGAGAAGAGUAACAGGCUCUCCAGUAGCCACUGUGGAUUUGCAUGCAAAGUGCAGACUGACAUUUGAAACUCUUCACUUUUUACCCGCCACUCAUCUUUCCAACCUUGUCACCCAGAUCAUCUGAGUGGUCUCCGUCCCUGAAUCCCUGCAUGCACUUUUGCUUUCUGUCCUUCCCUCUCCCUCAGUUCACUCC
rnacentral:lncRNA from 1 species